UGGGUGAUCUGCCCUGCACUUCGGGAUAAGCCUGGGAAACUGGGUCUAAUACCGGAUAGGACGAUGGUUUGGAUGCCAUUGUGGAAAGUUUUCGGUGCAAGAUGAGCCCGCGGCCUAUCAGCUUGUUGGUGGGGUAAUGGCCUACCAAGGCGACGACGGGUAGCCGGCCUGAGAGGGUGGACGGCCACAUUGGGACUGAGACACGGCCCAG
rnacentral:rRNA from 1 species